ACCCAGUGCUACUCAUGUGGUAGUUCUAAAAUAGUUUUAUCUCUGUAUUUAACUUUUCUUAAAUGAUUUAUCACCAUUUAUUGUAAUAUUAUCUUCUAUAUUUUGUGUUCUUUUCAGUGAAAAUCAGGU